GUCGUAUAAAUCUUCCCGGCUCGGAGAUGAACCACAGCCUUGUUCCCCUGAUCGAUGUUUAAAAGCAAUAAGAAGAAUAUACCAACUGUGGAUCCAACAAUAGCAAUAAGGGCGAAGAGAAAGAUAAGAAGGACGAUACGGAACGAGACCAUUGUUGGGUGUAUAAUAGAAAAAGACGAAUGAAUCAGUAUUUUUCCAUUAACGGAGAAAUUUGUACAUGUUGUAUGUCAAUGUAUAUGAGUAACUGAGUAUAUAUAUAUAUAUAACAUAAGAAAAGGUUUGAUGUAUAAUGGGAUGCAAGUCAUCAACUUCCCGUAUUUUAUCCGUUCUAGAGUUUGAUUCAA